CACAGGUUAGUGCAUCAGGAAGUGCGCUUUUAUCUAUCCUCAAACAUUGGGAGUCCCGAGGAAGGCUGAGGUGUGAGCGGCAUCAUGGGUUCUCCAGGCCUGUGUACACAAUACAGACAAGGGAAAGUGGCUUCUAUGGGUUUCUCCGCACUAUCCCAGUAGGAGUACGGAUUUUGAUCUUGGAAGGUGGUCAAGUGAGCGAUAGUUUUGCUGAGAUCAUGAACAGAAACAGCAUAGGAAACCAUACCUACAUGGAUACAGAAUUCUAUUGGUCCAUGGGUUCUGCUUCAAGAGGAGCCAGCAAUAGUGAAGCCACUCAAGUGAUGAACCCGAUCGCAUGCUUGCAUCUGGAUGAUAUCCUUUUAUUCACUGUGACCAGACACCAUUAUCCGCAGUAUGAUGUGUUUUGCCUGCUGGAGGAGAUUGCUAUGACAUCGGACCGUUCUUUCCUACUGAUCCACAUCACAUGAUUCGGAUGGGCAUAACCCUCCAACGCCAGCUCCUGCUGCGACCCGACUGGUGGGUGAUUGGAGGUCUCUUAGCUGGAGCUACAGUUGUGCUCUGCUUGUGUCUUGCAGUACUGAUCUUGUUCAGAGAGCACGGCUGGCCAGAGAAGCUGCCUUCUCAGGCCAGGUACCGGGAACUACAGCUCAAGUACAACAUGGAUGACUAUUCAUCAAAAGGUUCCAGGGUCAUAGCACUGAAAAAGAUGCACAGAAACUUAACGGUCGGGAUGAACGAGGAUCCAGUGCUGAGAG
ensembl:lncRNA